CUCAUGGAGAGAUCGAUCCUGGCUUAGGAUGAACACUGGCGGCAUGCUUAACACAUGCAAGUCGAACGGGAAGUGGUGUUUCCAGUGGCGGACGGGUGAGUAACGCAUAAGAACCUACGCUUGGGAGGGGAACAACAAUUGGAAACGACUGCGAAUACCCCGUAGGCUGAGGAGUAAAAGGAGGAAUUCGCCCGAUGAGAGUCUCACGUUUCAUUAGCUAGUUGGUGAGGCAAUAGCUUACCAAGGCGAUGAUCAGUAGUUGGUCCGAGAGGAUGAUCAACUACACUAGGACUGAGACACGGCCCAGACUCCUAGGGGAGGCAGUAGUGGGGAAUUUUUUGCAAUAGGCGAAAGCUUGACAGAGCAAUACCGCGUAGAGUUAGAAGGCCAACAGGUCGUGAACUUCUUUUUCCAGAGAAGAAGUAAUGACGGUAUCUAGGGAAUAAGCAUCGGCUAAAUCAAUGCCAGCAGCCGCGGUAAUACAGAUGAUGAAAGCGUUAUCUGGAAUAAUUGGGCAUAAAGCGUUUGUAGGUGACUUUUUAAGUCUGCCAUCAAAUCCUAGGGCUCAACCCUGGACAAGCGGUGGAAACUACCAAGCUGGAGUAUGGUAGAGGCAGAGAGAAUAUCUGGUGGAACGAUGAAAUACAUAGAGAUCGAAAAGAACACCAGCGGCGAAAGCACUUUGCUGGGCCGACAUUGACAUUGAUACCUCAGUAGUCCUAGCUGUAAACGAUGGAUACUAGGCGCUGUGCGUAUAGACCCGUGCAGUGCUGUAGCUAAUGCGUUAAGUAUCCCGCCUGGGGAGUACGUUCGCAAGAAUAAAACUCAAAAGAAUUGAUGGGGGCCCGCAUAAGUGGUGGAACAUGUAGUUUAAUUCGAUGUAAAGCGAAGAACCUUACCAGGGCUUGACAUAUCACACUCCUCUUGAAAGAGAGGGGUACUUUCAAGAACGUGGACACAUGUGGUGCAUGGCUGCUCUCAUGCCGUAAGGUGUUGGGUUAAGUCUCGCAACGAACGUAUCCCUCGUGUUUAGUUGCCACCAUUGAUUUGGGAACUUUGAGCAGACUGCUGGUGAUAAGCCAGAGGAAGGUGAGGAUAACGUCAAGUCAUCAUGCCCCUUAUGCCUUGGGCGACACAUGUGCUACAAUGAACGGGUCAAAGGGUCGCAAUCUCGUGAGGGUAAGCUAACUCCAAAAACCCGUCCUCAGUUUGGAUUGGAGGCUGCAACUCAUCUGCAUGAAGCCGGAAUCGCUAGUAAUCGCCGGUCAGCCAUACAGCCGUGAAUUCGUUCCUGGGCCUUGUACACACCACCUGUCACACUAUAGGAGCUGGUCAUGCCCGAAGUCGUUACCUUAACCGCAAAGAGGGGGAUGUCGAAGGCAGGGCUAGUGACUAGAGUGAAGUCGUAACAAGGUAGUCGUACUGGAAAAUGUGGCUGGAUCACCUUCUUU
rfam:Gossypium raimondii Chr05_contig_1032, whole genome shotgun sequence.